GGAUUAGAUACCCUGGUAGUCCACGCCCUAAACGAUGUAUGCUUGGUGUUGGGUCCGCAAGGACUCAGUGCCGUAGGAAAUCUGAUAAGCAUACCACCUGGGGAGUACGAUCGCAAGGUUGAAACUCAAAGGAAUUGACGGGGGCCCGCACAAGCGGUGGAUCAUGUGGUUUAAUUCGAUGCAACGCGAAGAACCUUACCCGGGCUUGAAGUGUAGGUAGUAAAGAGAUGAAAGUCGAAUGACCCGUUAAGUCGGAUGCCUACAGAGGUGCUGCAUGGCUGUCGUCAGCUCGUGCCG
rnacentral:rRNA from 1 species